GAGGCAUAGCUCAGCUGGUUAGAGCGCUUGCUUCACAUGUAAGAGGUCGUAGGUUCGAGUCCUACUGUCUCC
rnacentral:tRNA from 1 species